GACGAACGCUGGCGGCGUGCUUAACACAUGCAAGUCGAACGGUAAGGCUCCAGCUUGCUGGGGUACACGAGUGGCGAACGGGUGAGUAACACGUGGGUGACCUGCCCUGCACUUCGGGAUAAGCCUGGGAAACUGGGUCUAAUACCGGAUAGGACCGCACCGUGAGGGUGUGGUGGAAAGUUUUUUCGGUGUGGGAUGGGCCUGCGGCCUAUCAGCUUGUUGGUGGGGUAAUGGCCUACCAAGGCGGCGACGGGUAGCCGGCCUGAGAGGGUGGACGGCCACAUUGGGACUGAGACACGGCCCAGACUCCUACGGGAGGCAGCAGUGGGGAAUAUUGCACAAUGGGCGGAAGCCUGAUGCAGCGACGCCGCGUGGGGGAUGACGGCCUUCGGGUUGUAAACUCCUUUCACCAUCGACGAAGGGUUUCUGACGGUAGAUGGAGAAGAAGCACCGGCUAACUACGUG
rnacentral:rRNA from 1 species